rnacentral:rRNA from 1 species
AUUACCCACUCCCGGCACGGGGAGGUAGUGACGAAAAUAACGAUACGGGACUCAWCCGAGGCCCCGUAAUCGGAAUGAGUACACUCUAAACCCUUUAACGAGGAUCAAUUGGAGGGCAAGUCUGGUGCCAGCAGCCGCGGUAAUUCCAGCUCCAAUAGCGUAUAUAAAAGUUGUUGCGGUUAAAAAGCUCGUAGUCGAAUCUGUGUCUUGCGCCGCCGGUGCAUCGCUCGCGGUGUUUAACUGGCGUGUCCGCGAGACGUCCUGCCGGUGGGCUUAGCCCGGCAACGGGCGGCCCAACUUGAAAUCCCACCGCGGUGCUCUUGAUUGAGUGUCGAGGUGGGCCGGCACGUUUACUUUGAACAAAUUAGAGUGCUUAAAGCAGGCUAAAACUUCGCCUGAAUACUGUGUGCAUGGAAUAAUGGAAUAGGACCUCGGUUCUAUUUUGUUGGUUUUCGGAACCCCGAGGUAAUGAUUAAUAGGAACGGAUGGGGGCAUUCGUAUUGCGACGUUAGAGGUGAAAUUCUUGGAUCGUCGCAAGACGGACAGAAGCGAAAGCAUUUGCCAAAAACGCUUUCAUUGAUCAAGAACGAAAGUUAGAGGUUCGAAGGCGAUCAGAUACCGCCCUAGUUCUAACCAUAAACGAUGCCAGCUAGCGAUCCGCCGACGUUCCUCCGAUGACUCGGCGGGCAGCUUCCGGGAAACCAAAGCUUUUGGGUUCCGGGG